rnacentral:rRNA from 1 species
GACGAACGCUGGCGGCGUGCUUAACACAUGCAAGUCGAACGGAAGGGCCCUGCUUUUGUGGGGUGCUCGAGUGGCGAACGGGUGAGUAACACGUGAGUAACCUGCCCUUGACUUUGGGAUGACUUCAGGAAACUGGGGCUAAUACCGGAUAGGAGCUCCUGCUGCAUGGUGGGGGUUGGAAAGUUUCGGCGGUUGGGGAUGGACUCGCGGCUUAUCAGCUUGUUGGUGGGGUAGUGGCUUACCAAGGCUUUGACGGGUAGCCGGCCUGAGAGGGUGACCGGCCACAUUGGGACCGAGAUACGGCCCAGACUCCUACGGGAGGCAGCAGUGGGGAAUAUUGCACAAUGGGCGGAAGCCUGAUGCAGCAACGCCGCGUGCGGGAUGACGGCCUUCGGGUUGUAAACCGCUUUCGCCUGUGACGAAGCGUGAGUGACGGUAAUGGGUAAAGAAGCACCGGCUAACUACGUG